rnacentral:rRNA from 1 species
ACACGUAGGGAGCAAGCGUUGUCCGGAUUUAUUGGGCGUAAAGAGCUCGUAGGCGGUUUCGUAAGUCGGAUGUGAAAACUCAGGGCUCAACCCUGAGACGCCAUCUGAUACUGCGAUGACUAGAGUCCGGUAGAGGAGCAUGGAAUUCCUGGUGUAGCGGUGGAAUGCGCAGAUAUCAGGAGGAACACCAAUGGCGAAGGCAGUGCUCUGGGCCGGUACUGACGCUGAGGAGCGAAAGCAUGGGGAGCAAACAGGAUUAGAAACCCCGGUAGUCC